CCUCAACAAGUUUUUAAGUUUUUAGAUAGAAUGUUUUUGACUCUUCGUCUUAUUUAAAAAUUUUUGCGAUUAAUAUUUUUAUUGCUACAAGAUGAUAAAACAUGAAUAAUACUUUAUACGUGAUUAAUUUUUUAAAUUUUUUUAUAAAUUUUUCAAAUAAGACGAAUGGUCAUAUUUUGGACACAGAAAUCGAAAAAUGAAAUUAUU
rnacentral:pre_miRNA from 1 species